GAUGAACGCUGGCGGCGUGCCUAAUACAUGCAAGUCGAGCGAACGGACGAGAAGCUUGCUUUUCUGAUGUUAGCGGCGGACGGGUGAGUAACACGUGGAUAACCUACCUAUAAGACUGGGAUAACUUCGGGAAACCGGAGCUAAUACCGGAUAAUAUUUUGAACCGCAUGGUUCAAAAGUGAAAGACGGUCUUGCUGUCACUUAUAGAUGGAUCCGCGCUGCAUUAGCUAGUUGGUAAGGUAACGGCUUACCAAGGCAACGAUGCAUAGCCGACCUGAGAGGCGGAUCGGCCACACUGGAACUGAGACACGGUCCAGACUCCUACGGGAGGCAGCAGUAGGGAAUCUUCCGCAAUGGGCGAAAGCCUGACGGAGCAACGCCGCGUGAGUGAUGAAGGUCUUCGGAUCGUAAAACUCUGUUAUUAGGGAAGAACAGAUGUGUAAGUAACUGUGCACAUCUUGACGGUACCUAAUCAGAAAGCCACGGCUAACUACGUG
rnacentral:rRNA from 1 species